CAACUCGCCUGCAUGAAGUUGGAAUUGCUAGUAAUCGCGAAUCAGAAUGUCGCGGUGAAUACGUUCCCGGGCCUUGUACACACCGCCCGUCACACCAUGAGAGUCGAUAGCACCCGAAGCCUGUGAGCUAACCUUUUAGGAGGCAGCAGUCGAAGGUGGGGUUGAUGAUUGGGGUGAAGUCGUAACAAGGUACC
rnacentral:rRNA from 1 species